AGUCGGUGCCAGUGGACGAGUAAGGUGUUACUCAGGCCCGCAGUCCGAGCUCGUAGUCGUGUCUGACUGACCGCGAACCUGAAGGGUCACACGCUUAAGGGGUGGGGACCGAGUUGGAUCGGAUCCAACUCGUAUCGGGCUUAGACUCCUAACAGGACUCAAGUGUUGAGCCCACUAGGGACGUCUAUAUAAGUGGAGGAGACCAACCCGGCUAGGGUUACAUCAGUCCAGACGCGAGUUAUACUCG
rnacentral:lncRNA from 1 species